rnacentral:rRNA from 1 species
GUGUCAGCAGCCGCGGUAAUACGUAGGGGGCAAGCGUUAUCCGGAAUUAUUGGGCGUAAAGAGUGCGUAGGUGGUUAUGUAAGCGAGAGGUGAAAGGCUACGGCUUAACUGUAGUAAGCCUUUCGAACUGCGUAACUUGAGUGCAGGAGAGGAUAGUGGAAUUCCUAGUGUAGCGGUGAAAUGCGUAGAUAUUAGGAGGAACACCAGUGGCGAAGGCGACUAUCUGGACUGUAACUGACACUGAGGCACGAAAGCGUGGGGAGCGAACAGGAUUAGAUACCCUGGUAGUCCACGCCGUAAACGAUGAGCACUAGGUGUCGGGGUCGCAAGGCCUCGGUGCCGCAGUUAACGCAUUAAGUGCUCCGCCUGGGGAGUACGCACGCAAGUGUGAA